GGGGUUGUGGCUUAGCGGUAGAGCAUUCGCCUAGUAUGUGGGAGGUCCUGGGUUUGAUCCUCAGCACCA
rnacentral:tRNA from 1 species